GAUGAAGAACGCAGCGAAAUGCGAUACUUGGUGUGAAUUGCAGAAUCCCGUGAACCAUCGAGUCUUUGAACGCAAGUUACGCCCGAAGCCAUUAGGCCGAGGGCACGCCUGCCUGGGCGUCACACGUCGUUGCCCCCCCAUCUACUCCUUCGGGAUUGCGGGGGGCGGAUGAUGGCCUCUCGUGCGCCUCGUCGCGCGGUUGGCCUAAAUGCCAAGUCCUCGGCGACGCACGCCACGACAAUCGGUGGUUGCGAAACCUCGGUUGCCUGUCGUGUGCGGUCGUCGCGCAUCGAGGGCUCGAAAAAAUUGCCGGGCUUCGGCUCGACUUUCAACGCGACCCCAGGUCAGGCGGGGUUACCCGCUGAAUUUAAGCAUAUCAAUAAGCGGAGGA
rnacentral:misc_RNA from 1 species